UACGGGAGGCAGCAGUGGGGAAUUUUGGACAAUGGGGGCAACCCUGAUCCAGCAAUGCCGCGUGAGUGAAGAAGGCCUUCGGGUUGUAAAGCUCUUUUGUCAGGGAAGAAACAGCAGCUCUAACACAGUCUGCGAAUGACGGUACCUGAAGAAUAAGCACCGGCUAACUACGUGCCAGCAGCCGCGGUAAUACGUAGGGUGCAAGCGUUAAUCGGAAUUACUGGGCGUAAAGCGUGCGCAGGCGGUUAUGUAAGACAGGCGUGAAAUCCCCGGGCUUAACCUGGGAAUUGCGCUUGUGACUGCAUAGCUAGAGUAUGUCAGAGGGGGGUAGAAUUCCACGUGUAGCAGUGAAAUGCGUAGAGAUGUGGAGGAAUACCAAUGGCGAAGGCAGCCCCCUGGGAUAAUACUGACGCUCAUGCACGAAAGCGUGGGGAGCAAACAGGAUUAGAUACCCUGGUAGUCCACGCCCUAAACGAUGCUGACUAGUUGUUCGGGAAUUUAUUCCUGAGUAACGUAGCUAACGCGU
rnacentral:rRNA from 1 species